CCUACGGGAGGCAGCAGUGGGGAAUAUUGGGCAAUGGGCGCAAGCCUGACCCAGCAACGCCGCGUGAAGGAAGAAGGCUUUCGGGUUGUAAACUUCUUUUCUCAGGGACGAAGAAAGUGACGGUACCUGGGGAAUAAGCCACGGCUAACUACGUGCCAGCAGCCGCGGGAAUACGUAGGUGGCAAGCGUUAUCCGGAUUUAUUGGGUGUAAAGGGCGUGUAGGCGGGAGCGCAAGUCAGAUGUGAAAACUCCGGGCUCAACCCUGAGCCUGCAUUUGAAACUGUGUGUCUUGAGUGCUGGAGAGGCAAUCGGAAUUCCGGGUGUAGCGGUGAAACGCGUAGAUAUAAGGAGGAACACCAGUGGCGAAGGCGGAUUGCUGGACAGUAACUGACGCUGAGGCGCGAAAGCGUGGGGAGCAAACAGGAUUAGAUACCCGAGUAGUC
rnacentral:rRNA from 1 species